GAGUUUUGAGGCAGGGUGUCCCAAAGAGGAGCCUCAAAUGCUGAAGUUCUUCCCUUCUUCUGUUCCUUCCUGCUUCUCAAAAUGUUUAAGAAAAAAAUGUGACAGAUUUAGAAGCUAUAGGGGAGAGCCUCGAGUCCUCACCCUUUCCAUGUAACCUGUUGUUGAGAAUCGUCAUGAAUCGGGACGGAAAACAAAUCCUCGAAUUCUGUGGAAAGAUUCUAACACUUUUUUAUUUCUUCAUAAACAGCAAUAAGCGAA
rnacentral:lncRNA from 1 species